UACGUAGGUGACGAGCGUUAUCCGGAAUUACUGGGCGUAAAGCGCACGCAAGCGGUUGGACAAGUCUGGCGUGAAAUCUCCUGGCUUAACCAGGAGCGGUCGCUGGAAACUGUUUGACUUGAGGCGAUGAGAGGGGUGCAGAAUUCCCGGUGUAGUGGUGGAAUGCGUAGAGAUCGGGAGGAAUACCAGUGGCGAAAGCGGCACCCUGGCGUCGUACUGACGCUCAUGUGCGAAAGCGUGGGGAGCGAACGGG
rnacentral:rRNA from 1 species